rnacentral:tRNA from 1 species
GGUACGAUAGUCAAAUGUUGAUAUCCGUUUUGCAUGCGGAAGGUGAAAUACUUAUUUUUCUCGCGCCA